GACGUAGGGCGCGAGCGUUGUCCGGAUUUAUUGGGCGUAAAGAGCUCGUAGGCGGCUUGUCGCGUCGAAUGUGAAAUCUCAGGGCUCAACCCUGACAUUGCAUUCGAUACGGGCAGGCUUGAGUUCGGUAGGGGAGACUGGAAUUCCUGGUGUAGCGGUGAAAUGCGCAGAUAUCAGGAGGAACACCGGUGGCGAAGGCGGCUUCCUGGACCGACACUGACGCUGAGGCGCGAAAGCUAGGGGAGCAAACGGG
rnacentral:rRNA from 1 species